UACGUAGGGUGCGAGCGUUGUCCGGAAUUAUUGGGCGUAAAGAGCUCGUAGGCGGUCUGUCGCGUCUGCUGUGAAAAACCCGAGGCUCAACCUCGGGCCUGCAGUGGGUACGGGCAGACUAGAGUGCGGUAGGGGAGUCUGGAAUUCCUGGUGUAGCGGUGAAAUGCGCAGAUAUCAGGAGGAACACCGGUGGCGAAGGCGGGACUCUGGGCCGAUACUGACGCUGAGGAGCGAAAGCGUGGGGAGCAAACAGG
rnacentral:rRNA from 1 species